rnacentral:rRNA from 1 species
CAAUAGCGUAUAUUAAAGUUGUUGCAGUUAAAAAGCUCGUAGUUGGAUUUCUGAUUGAGACAUCAGGUCGGGUCCGAGAGGAUCAUGUACUUUGAUUUGUUUUGAUCAUCCUUGGGGAGAGCAUUUCUGGCAUUCAGUUGUCGGGAUUGGGAUCCUCAUCGUUUACUGUGAAAAAAUUAGAGUGUUCAAAGCAGGCCUCGGCCUCUGAAUACAUUAGCAUGGAAUAAUAAGAUAGGACUUUGGUGGUCUAUUUUGUUGGUUUGCACGCCAAAGUAAUGAUUAAUAGGGAUAGUUGGGGGUAUUCGUAUUCAAUUGUCAGAGGUGAAAUUCUUGGAUUUAUGGAAGACGAACUACUGCGAAAGCAUUUACCAAGGAUGUUUUCAUUAA